UUGAAAGGGAAACGAUUGAAGUCAGUCAUACCAACGGGAAAUCAACCUUUUGAGCUUGGUCUCGUGGGUUUUGAAGAGUUUCAAAGCCUUCGGAUUCGCGGGAUUGGGAUCUCUUGGUGUACUUUUUCGUACGGUUAGUCAACAUCGGUUUUGAAUGUCAUAAAAUGACUGGAGGAAUGUAGCUUCGAUCUCGUAUUGAAGUGUUAUAGCCUUUGGUAGAUGUGACGUUUGAGACCGAGGAUUGCAACGGAUACCCUUCAGGGCUAUUCGUCUGAUCUCUGAUACGUUGCCUUGAUGUUGAAAGCUUGCUUAUGAUGUUAGGGUAUUACGGUCAAAAGGUUAGAACGAAUUACAUUCGUUAAGGAUGUUGACGUA
rnacentral:rRNA from 1 species